rnacentral:siRNA from 1 species
AGCACUGAAUGGUGAGCCUCAUC